UUGUUCUUUAUUGUUUAUUAUUGCUUGUUGAUUGUCUAAAGGGAGUGCACUCAUAGCAUCUUGCCAUGUCAUUUUUUUGUAUGUCAUGUCAUCUUUUUGUCUUAGCAUCCAAUUCUUAGUAUUUCAUAGGGAGUGGUAACACUCCUAACACUCUAUUUUUAUUUUCAAAUUUAAAUAAAUUAUAUUUUUUAAUACACAAAAUUUUACAUAUAUUUUUUUAUACAUAAUCCAUCAUAGACCCGGAUAAUUUCAGCAAUACUUGUUCAAACUCCCAUUUCAGUUACAUUUGAAAUUGAGUUGCAGGCUCUUGUUAUUGCUCUGUUUACAUCUUUUCCUUGCUAAUGUUGUUUCAGGUCCAAAUCACGGCUGUUGGUUCAAAACAUCAACCAAUGAAAACAUGUUUGAAGCAUAUCACACAUUUCAUUGGAUUAAUGAAUCAAAUCACCCAUUUCAUUAUUGGAUCCUACAAAAUUAUAUUUAGAAGGAAAAUUAGUCAUACUCAGUUAGGAAGCCAUAUGCUAUUAAUACAUAUACAACAAAACAAAAAGACUAGAGAUGUAGAGCAAGACCGCAAGCAAACAUUUGAGCCCGACAUUUCAUCGAACAUGUAGUGUGCAUGUAAAUUAGAGAUAACUGAUUAGUACAAUAACAUCAAAUCUAACCCUUAAUCAAUUCAAAGACUUUUUUUACUAUAAAAAUCGAUCAUCAAGUUGGUUUUAAAGAGUUGAGUUUGUUGAUUUUGGUUGGAUUCACUAUUUGGUUGUGAUAUUGACGAACUCAAGAAGACUAAUUUCUGAUAACAAUUGGUAUACAAACUACAAACAAAAUGGGUUCUUCCAGAAGCUAAACCACAAGAUUUGGGUUUUCUAGUUUGAUUAAAACAAGCAAAAGCUCUUACUAGUUGAAGAAUUCAAAAGGGGGGAAACGAUUGAGAGCUUGAGCAUCUAUUUUCUUGGCCAGUGAAUGUCUGGCUCAUACAAGAUCUUUCAGGUCAAAAAGGAAAGAACCAAUCAGGUGCUACUCUUCUCCUCUCUCUCCUCUCGUUACGCAUGUAGCGACUUCAAGCUGGCGAGCCCCCUAGCGAGAGCUAGGGGCGGUGUUCCUUUUCCUAGCGAGCUCUUAGCGAGAGUGCUUAGCAUCUCCACUCCCAUCAGCCUAACAUUCAACACAUAUGUAGGAUAAGUUUGACAUGUUGGAAUGGUGUGGUUAUUAUGAUUCAAUAUUUUAUGUCUGCUUGCAUGUAGUUUAAAUAGAUUAACCCAAGACGGAUAUGAUAUUUUUAUGCCGUCAAGUCCUAA
rnacentral:lncRNA from 1 species